rnacentral:rRNA from 1 species
UACGAGUAGUGCGAGUGUUAUUCCCCCGUGACUGGGCGUAAAGGGUGUGUAGGCUGUGUAGUAAGUUUCAGGUAAAAAAGUAUAAAAAAUAGAGGAGCGUCUCAUACUAUUACACUAGAGUAUAAUGGAAGAAAGAGGAACUUCUUGCAACAGAAUUAAAAUGCGUUUAAACAAGAGGGAACACCGAAGGCGAAAGCAUUUUUUCUACAGUAUACUGACGCUGAGACACGAAGGCAAGGGGAUCAAAUGGG